rnacentral:rRNA from 1 species
CUUUUGUGACUGAGCGGCGGACGGGUGAGUAACGCGUGGGUAACCUGCCUCAUACAGGGGGAUAACAGUUAGAAAUGGCUGCUAAUACCGCAUAAGACCACAGUACUGCAUGGUACAGUGGUAAAAACUCCGGUGGUAUGAGAUGGACCCGCGUCUGAUUAGGUAGUUGGUGAGGUAACGGCCCACCAAGCCGACGAUCAGUAGCCGACCUGAGAGGGUGACCGGCCACAUUGGGACUGAGACACGGCCCAGACUCCUACGGGAGGCAGCAGUGGGGAAUAUUGCACAAUGGGGGAAACCCUGAUGCAGCGACGCCGCGUGGAGGAAGAAGGUCUUCGGAUUGUAAACUCCUGUUGUUGAGGAAGAUAAUGACGGUACUCAACAAGGAAGUGACGGCUAACUACGUGCCAGCAGCCGCGGUAAAACGUAGGUCACAAGCGUUGUCCGGAAUUACUGGGUGUAAAGGGAGCGCAGGCGGGAAGACAAGUUGGAAGUGAAAUCUAUGGGCUCAACCCAUAAACUGCUUUCAAAACUGUUUUUCUUGAGUAGUGCAGAGGUAGGCGGAAUUCCCGGUGUAGCGGUGGAAUGCGUAGAUAUCGGGAGGAACACCAGUGGCGAAGGCGGCCUACUGGGCACCAACUGACGCUGAGGCUCGAAAGUGUGGGUAGCAAACAGGAUUAGAUACCCUGGUAGUCCACACCGUAAACGAUGAUUACUAGGUGUUGGAGGAUUGACCCCUUCAGUGCCGCAGUUAACACAAUAAGUAAUCCACCUGGGGAGUACGACCGCAAGGUUGAAACUCAAAGGAAUUGACGGGGGCCCGCACAAGCAGUGGAGUAUGUGGUUUAAUUCGACGCAACGCGAAGAACCUUACCAAGUCUUGACAUCCUGCGACGAUGCUGGAAACAGUAUUUUCCUUCGGGACGCAGAGACAGGUGGUGCAUGGUUGUCGUCAGCUCGUGUCGUGAGAUGUUGGGUUAAGUCCCGCAACGAGCGCAACCCUUACUGUCAGUUACUACGCAAGAGGACUCUGGCGAGACUGCCGUUGACAAAACGGAGGAAGGUGGGGAUGACGUCAAAUCAUCAUGCCCUUUAUGACCUGGGCUACACACGUACUACAAUGGCGUUAAACAAAGAGAAGCAAGACCGCGAGGUGGAGCAAAACUCAAAAACAACGUCUCAGUUCAGAUUGCAGGCUGCAACUCGCCUGCAUGAAGUCGGAAUUGCUAGUAAUCGCGGAUCAGCAUGCCGCGGUGAGUACGUUCCCGGGCCUUGCACUCACCGCCCGUCA